rnacentral:rRNA from 1 species
GACGAACGCUGGCGGCGUGCCUAAUACAUGCAAGUAGAACGCUGAAGGAGGAGCUUGCUUCUCCGGAUGAGUUGCGAACGGGUGAGUAACGCGUAGGUAACCUGCCUGGUAGCGGGGGAUAACUAUUGGAAACGAUAGCUAAUACCGCAUAACAGUAGAUAUCGCAUGAUAUCUGCUUGAAAGGUGCAAUUGCAUCACUACCAGAUGGACCUGCGUUGUAUUAGCUAGUUGGUGAGGUAACGGCUCACCAAGGCGACGAUACAUAGCCGACCUGAGAGGGUGAUCGGCCACACUGGGACUGAGACACGGCCCAGACUCCUACGGGAGGCAGCAGUAGGGAAUCUUCGGCAAUGGACGGAAGUCUGACCGAGCAACGCCGCGGGAGUGAAGAAGGUUUUCGGAUCGUAAAGCUCUGUUGUAAGAGAAGAACGAGUGUGAGAGUGGAAAGUUCACACUGUGACGGUAGCUUACCAGAAAGGGACGGCUAACUACGUG